rnacentral:pre_miRNA from 1 species
UGAUGAUGAUGAUGAUGAUGUUGACGAUGAUGAUGAUAGUGGUGAUGAUGAUCAUGAUACUAAUAAUGGUGAUUGUCCAGUGUAUCUUAUUUUUCUAGCCACACCACCAUCACAAUCAUCACCACCAUCACCACCACCAUCAUCAUCAUCAUCAUCA